UCCGUAGGGUGCAAGCGUUGUCCGGAAUUAUUGGGCGUAACGAGCUCGUAGGCGGUCUGUCGCGUCUGCUGUGAAAACUCGGGGCUUAACCCCGGGCCUGCAGUGGGUACGGGCAGACUAGAGUGCGGUAGGGGAGACUGGAAUUCCUGGUGUAGCGGUGAAAUGCGCAGAUAUCAGGAGGAACACCGGUGGCGAAGGCGGGUCUCUGGGCCGUAACUGACGCUGAGGAGCGAAAGCAUGGGGAGCGAACAGG
rnacentral:rRNA from 1 species